rnacentral:rRNA from 1 species
GAUGAACGCUGGCGGCGUGCCUAAUACAUGCAAGUUGAGCGAACAGACGAGGAGCUUGCUCCUCUGACGUUAGCGGCGGACGGGUGAGUAACACGUGGAUAACCUACCUAUAAGACUGGGAUAACUUCGGGAAACCGGAGCUAAUACCGGAUAAUAUAUUGAACCGCAUGGUUCAAUAGUGAAAGACGGUUUUGCUGUCACUUAUAGAUGGAUCCGCGCCGCAUUAGCUAGUUGGUAAGGUAACGGCUUACCAAGGCAACGAUGCGUAGCCGACCUGAGAGGGUGAUCGGCCACACUGGAACUGGGACACGGUCCAGACUCCUACGGGAGGCAGCAGUAGGGAAUCUUCCGCAAUGGGCGAAAGCCUGACGGAGCAACGCCGCGUGAGUGAUGAAGGUCUUCGGAUCGUAAAACUCUGUUAUUAGGGAAGAACAAAUGUGUAAGUAACUAUGCACGUCUUGACGGUACCUAAUCAGAAAGCCACGGCUAACUACGUG